rnacentral:rRNA from 1 species
CCGGCAAACUCCGUGCCAGCAGCCGCGGUAAUACGGAGGGGGCAAGCGUUGUUCGGAAUUAUUGGGCGUAAAGGGCAUGUAGGCGGUUCAGUAAGUUAAAGGUGAAAUACCAGGGCUUAACCCUGGAGCUGCUUUUAAUACUGCUGGACUGGAGUUCGGAAGAGGAUAGCGGAAUUCCUAGUGUAGAGGUGAAAUUCGUAGAUAUUAGGAGGAACACCAGUGGCGAAGGCGGCUAUCUGGUCCGAUACUGACGCUGAGGUGCGAAAGCGUGGGGAGCAAMCAGGAUUAGAUACCCUGGUAGUCCACGCUGUAAACGAUGAGUGCUUAAUGUGGGGGUGCGAGCCUCCGUGUUGAAGCUAACGCGAUAAGCACUCCGCCUGGGGACUACGGUCGCAAGACUAAAACUCAAAGGAAUUGACGGGGACCUGCACAAGCGGUGGAGCAUGUGGUUUAAUUCGAUGCAACGCGAAGAACCUUACCACUCCUUGACAUGGGGACUAGAUCCUUCUUAMCGGAAGGGCGCAGUUAGGCUGGGUCCCACACAGGUGCUGCAUGGCUGUCGUCAGCUCGUGUCGUGAGAUGUUGGGUUAAGUCCCGCAACGAGCGUAACCCUCAUUCUUAGUUGCCAGCGGGUAAUGCCGGGCMCUUUAAGAAAACUGCCGGUGGUAAACUGGAGGAAGGUGGGGAUGAUGUCAAGUCASCWCGGCCCUUAUGGGGUGGGCUACMCMCGUGCUMCAAUGGUAGCUACAAUGGGUUGCAAUGUSGCAAGGCGGAGCUAAUCCUCAAAAGCUAUCUCAGUUCGGAUUGUCCUCUGCAACUCGAGGGCAUGAAGUCGGAAUCGCUAGUAAUCGUGGAUCAGCAUGCCACGGUGAAUACGUUCUCGGGUCUUGUACACACUGCCCGUCACGCCAUGGGAAUUGG